GGAGAGAUGGCCGAGUGGUUUAAGGCGAUAGUCUUGAAAACUGUUAUAGGGGAAACUCUAUCGGGGGUUCGAAUCCCUCUCUCUCCG
rnacentral:tRNA from 1 species